AGCAAGCUGGAGUCUCACAUGUUGGGAAAGACUGACGAGAGAUCGAGAAAAGGGGAAAAAAUAGCAUCAGAUUUUGUUGUAUAUGGGAAACCAGUGGCCAGUGUUCUAUCUGGAGAAAAGAUUCAAAACAAAAGACGGAACGUACUGUAAACAAGACAGCCCAGGAAAAGAUGACAGAGGGCAGACACUGUCAGGUGAAUCUCCUCGAUGGCAGAAAACUAGAACUACUGGUUCAGCCGAAGCUUUUGUCUCGGGAGCUGUUGGAUCUGGUGGCGUCUCAUUUUAACCUCAAAGAGAAGGAAUAUUUUGGAAUAACAUUUAUUGAUGAUAC